UGUGGCUCCUCCCACAGACCCCUGGAUAAAGGCGAUCAAGGCCUGAGCCUGGCCUCUCAGUCUCCAGGAUGUAGUGUGGUGGUCACUCGCUGUUUGUUCCGCCGAUAUCUCGCCUUUACGUCUCAGAGUGAGUUAUUGAUGGUGCAUCAAUUCCUGAAGCAGAACAUCACUGCAUAAUAUCAGUCCUCGUGGAACAAUGCUGCCUGGCUUGCUGAGUUCCUCCAGCAUUUUGUGUGUGUUGCUUGGAUUUCCAGCAUCUGCAAAUUUCUUCGUGUUUUAAAUAUACUCAAUGAUCUGUCCUCCAGAGCUCUCUGUUGCAAAGAAUCCCAUAGAUUCACCAACCUCUGACUGAAGAAAUCCUUCCUCAUCUCUGGUCUAAAUGGACAUCCCUCUAUUCUGAGACUGUGUCAUCUGGUCCAAGAUUCUCCUACUACCUUCCAGGAAUGAGAAGUUUCAGGUGUGCACACAGAAUAAGGAGGCUUGGUUUGAUCUUCUGAGAGCAAGGAAGGCUACAAGGAUAUUUAAAAGGGAUGCUUAAAAUCAUGCAGUGCUUAGAGUAAAUUAUGAGGGCAGUAUUCCUCAAUGGCUGAAGUGGGCAUGCUCUUAAAAAAAUACGUUUAUUCAGUGAGUGACUAGCAUUUAGAAUUCAGCCUGAUAGGGUGAAAUAUAUGGG